rnacentral:misc_RNA from 1 species
UGAAGUUUUACAAGGUUGAGAGAUUCUUGAAACAAGGUUAGUGCUUAUAUCCUUUUUCCUUUCUUUAUUAAAAAUUGAAUUGAAGUUAAGAUGAAGUGAAUUAUGCUUGAAAUCAAAAGAAAUGGUAAGUUAGGAGAAGUGUUAAGUUUCAGCAGCCUUGAGAAAUAUGGGAAUUUGAUUAAUUCUUACACGUAAAUGAUGAUUGGUGAUGUUGAUUAAGGUAGUUGCAUGCACUAGAAUUUAUUUACAUGUGUAUGUUUAAGGUUG